GUCUUUGGGCCAAGUCAGUAAUGGGCUCAGUUUAUUUAAUUUAGUUAUGGGACGAUUUUAUGAGUACUUGGGCCGAGAUUUUUAAUUAAAUGGGCUGAGUUAUUUCUUAAUUUUGGGCCGAUUUUCUUUUAUUAAGUUGGGCCUUUGAUUAUUUUAAAUCAUGGGCUGCCCAAGUAUUUAUUUAAUUGGAUUUGUGCAUAUUUUAUUUAAAGGAGCUACACUAUUAUAAUUAAUUAGACUUAUUAAGUUUAAUUAAUUAUUUUCAAAGAGUAAAUUUUUAUAAUAAUAUUAAAUUAUUAUUAUAAGCAUAUUUUAAGUAAUUACUUAUUAUAUGCUAAGCAUGACAUGAAAUUGCAUUAUAUUUUGCAAAAAGAGUAUUUAUGAUUUAAUUGGUUUUAUUUAUAAUUCCAAUUAUUAAAGAAAGAUGAGUAAGAAUAUUGUUGGUGUUCUUAACUCAAGAGAAAUGUUUUCAAUUAUUUAUUCAUUAAAUUUUGAAAACCCGGCUAAGUGAAUCAUAGAAUAUUAAGCACUUCACCAUGACUUAAGAUUAGAAUUCAAGGAGACCUAUUAAGAAUAGAUUUCUUGUAGGCUUUGAGCAUCAGGAGGAUUAGCACUGCUAUUCCGAUUCAGAGAUAAGGUUAAACGACAGGCUUUGCCUAGACAGGUUAAUGGCUGGUGAUGACGGGGCAGAGCUGAGGCUAGGGUUCAACUCCGUAUUUUGUCUUCCGCUAUUACACUAGCUUUUAUUUGUCUUUUGUUUCUCCAACUUAAGACUUUUAUGUUAAAUUCUGAAUUAUGUUUUUAUCGAGCUUAAACUCUCAACUUCUAGCUCUAUGUUAUUUAACGUUGGUUAUCGGAAGCAUGAAACCGAACUUGUGAUCCUAAGGCUUUGAAUGUUGUUGAUUGAUUAGUAUCACUUGAUUUCUAUCUUUCUUCAUUCAAAGGGCAUUGCCCAACAUUUUUAUUCUA